CGAAACUUUAAAAAAAUGUUCCGUUGUUUUUUUCCCCCUCUAUCACUUUCUCUCUAUCCUAUCCUAUCCUAUCCUAUCCUAUCCUGUCCUGUCCCUAUCUCCGGCACUUCCUCCGUCGCAUCUCGCUACCUGCCCCAAUCAGUCGCAUCUACCUCUUUCUAUCUUUCCAUCGCCAAAUCUCUUCCCCCCUAACUCUCUAUCACUGCAGAUGUUUUAAAAAGCCCAUUGUUUUCAUGUGUAUCAGUAUAUCUUAUGUAACCAUGUAUCUUUUCGAGCCUCUACACUCUAGUUUUACCUGUCCUAUCUUUUUCUUGCGUGCUGGUGUGUUUUUGUGUUUUUUUUCCUGUUAUACUUCAGGGGGAAAUGUCACAGAAAUUGUGCUCCUGCUUGUGGUUUAGGCUACACACGUCACAUUCCCAGUACAGUAUUAUGGCUAAUACCUUUUAGCAAACACCUUUUUCUCCUGUAUUUCUUUUCCUCCUUUUUUUUUACCCCUUGCUAUUUUUUUCAGAGCCCCUCUUGAGACAGCAGCCUGUUAUUUCCACUGCCCCCCCACCCCCUCUCUUUUUUUCACUUCUUCUCUCCCUCUCCAGGGUGAAGGAAAGAGUGAGAGACUACGGAUAGGAGCAGGAGAGGUGCUGUCCAGACCAGAAGGGGCCUCUCAAAGUGUUGCAUAGAAACAGUGAGCGGACACACGCCACAGGAGUGUCGAGGCGGUGGAGGAGAAACAGAGUGAGACACUCAGACUACGACCUCAAAGACAUCAGAGAGGAAGGGGAACCUGUGACAGAGCCUGCCAGCCUGCCUCGCUGCCAGACAAACUUUACUCACACAAGCUUCUCUCACUUCGCCCGUACUUUACACUGGGUUUGCUGUGCGCCAUGACAUGUACUCGCACUUCUAUGCUUUCUUCGAAUCACUCGAAUGCCUCGCUCACUUCUCUCACAUUUUGCUUCAUUGUUAAUCCACACAGCUGCUCAAAUCAUUAGUCAUUUAAAAAAGAAAAAAAAAACUAUCAAAUUCAGGAGUGUGUGUAUUUUUGUAACAUCCUGCAAUAAACUGACAGGG
ensembl:lncRNA